CCCGGAGUUACCUCCACGCUUGGCUCCCCCGCCCUUGCCGCCCAGAGCCACUCACCCGACGAGCCACCUCCCCUCCUCCCCGCGCUUCUUCGGGCUGCGGGCCGCGCCGCCCCGCCGCCAAGUCCUAGGGUGAGCCGGCUCCAGAUGGGGGCCCCGGGUACUCGGGGGCUGUCACUGUUUGGAGGUGACCCGGGCGCCCCAGAUGUGGCCGCGGCGCCGCAGCUGGAGCAGGAGCGGCCGCCAGAGGAGCGCGGGGAGGAGGAGGAGGAGGAGAAGGAGGAGGAGGAGAAUGAGGAGGAGGGCUUCAGUGGCGGCCCGGAGUUACCUCCACGCUUGGCUCCCCCGCCCUUGCCGCCCAGAGCCACUCACCCGACGAGCCACCUCCCCUCCUCCCCGCGCUUCUUCGGGCUGCGGGCCGCGCCGCCCCGCCGCCAAGUCCUAGGGUGA
rnacentral:lncRNA from 1 species